GGAGAGAUGGCUCAGUGGUUAAGAGCACUGGCUAUUAUUCCAGAGGACCUAGGUUCAGUUCCUAGCACCC
rfam:Cricetulus griseus cell line CHO-K1, whole genome shotgun sequence.